rnacentral:tRNA from 2 species
GGGGCUAUAGCUCAGUCGGUUAGAGCGCAUCCCUGAUAAGGAUGAGGUCGGAAGUUCGAUUCUUCCUAGCCCCA